rnacentral:tRNA from 1 species
CUCUGGGUGGUACAAAACAGUUAAUGCGCUUGGCUGCUAACCAAAGAGCUGGUGGUUCAAGUCCACCCAGAGA